CCCAUACCAUAGUUACCAUACACCCCCCAUGAUCAUUAUUCUUUCUCAUUCAUCAUUCUCAUCCUCCUCCUCUCUCUCUCUCUCUCUCUCUCUCUCUCUCUCUCUCACCCCCCUUGAAGAUAGGCGAGACUCUUGGGGGACAGAGAGAUAAAAGAGAUCAGAGAAAGCACACAUAGUCCACAUAUAUAUAGAGACACACAUGAUCGUCAAAAUCAUGGAUUUUGAAGAAGAGGAUAGAUAGAUAUGUGAAGCUUUAGCUUUUGAGGGGAAUGUUGUCUGGCUCGAGGACACUUUUCCUUGAUCUGUAUUUCUUAUAGAUCAACCUGUAUAUUUAUAUCUAGGUAUACAUAUAUAUGGCUUUUGGUGAAUUAGUGUCGUCGGACCAGGCUUCAUUCCCCCCAAUUUAUGGCUUCCAUUGACCUGUUCUUUUUCCACGGCAGAGGGCUUAAUUCUUCACAGUCUUAGAGGUUUGCCUUCUGUUUUCUUUUUAUGUUUUAGAUGAUUUGCUAUUUUGGGUUCUUUUUUAUGUUAUGUUUUGUUUCUUUUCUGGGGUUAUUUAUUGGCAGUUUAAAAUCAUGGGUUUUUGUUUUUAGAUCAAUUAAGGUUGUUAGUUUUAUGCAGAUUGGAGUAAUGAUGGAGUAUUUGACUACUAUUGCUCCUUUUUCAGUUUCAUAGACUGCAUAAAAAGUUUCAUCAUUGCUCUCCCUUUUCAUUUAUUUGUUUCGUUGUUCAUGAUCAUAAAAUUAUGAUGAUGUUGUUUUUGUCAGUCUAAGGCUCUAAGCGCUUUUUCCGCUUCAUCAUUAUCCAGAUUUACCUCAUGAUGCCUUCCAGUAUCUGAUCUGUCUGUUUCUGCCAUUUUUCAGAUCUGGCUUUUUUGGCUUUCUAUUUAAACUUUGGUAAACAUUCUCUCUUCUUUCUCACGUUCUAACUCUCUCUCUCUCUCUCUCUCUCUCUCUCUCUCUCUUAGGGUUUCGUAGGUCUAGAUUUAGGCUAUUAUCUAAAUGAAUCUUUUAGAAAAUAGCAUAAGCCUUUGCUUAGGAGAACAAGCAAGGAAAUGACACCCUUUCUGACAUUGUUUGAAAUGCCUAUUUUCAUUUGUCAACAGUUUUCUAUUGCUCUCAGUCAGUAAUCCUUUUCUCAGAGUGUUGAUUAAUAAUAAUGUUUAAAGAUACAUAUAUAUAUAUAUAUAUAUAUAUAUGAUUGCUGUAUUUCAUCAUUUUGCAGAUCAGUUAAUUAUAUUCUUGUUACUUUUAUUUAUAUGCCAUGAUGCUUCAGAGCUAUCUUUCUUUUGGUCUUGAUGAUAAUGUCCUUGCUGGACAUCUCUUUAUAACUUGAACUUUGCUUCUUUCAAAAUGUGAUGAGCGUAUGACAUGUACAUUGCAGCACAAAGGACAACUAUAACUUUGGGUAAGUGUGUGUGUCUGGUUGUCCAAAAGAAAGCAAGUCCAAAAGAAAGCCUGGUCACUUGCCUUUCCUUUAGUAUCUUCUUAGUGGAUAUACCUAUUGAAACCCUAAUCUUGUUCAUCUUUGAUUUGCUGUGAAAAGCUUUGUGAAUCAAAGCUUUUAGUCACUCACAUUGUCUUUUCCCCUCCUGACUUUUUGUCUUUUCAUUAUGGUUUUAUUUGACUGACUGUGCUAGCUAGCUCAGAGUCCAGGGGCUUAGAAUACAGCCAUUGCUGAAAACUAAGGGUAUUGAAAAUGCAUAUGCUAGACAAGAACAAGGAGCACUGUGGAGGUAAUCUAGAUGCCCCAAACAAGUUACAAACUACUAAUUUGAUCAAGUUCUUCUUAGAACUUUCUUAAGCUUAAGAGUUUAAGAAUUCCCUUUGUACAAUCCCAGAGUUCAAUUUCUUCUUGAAGUCAAUGUAAUCUAGUGUUUUGUUGGUCAAUGUAAUCUAGUGUUUUGUUGUCUCCCUUAUUUAUUUACUCAUUUUGGUUACAUUGGAGUUCGAACUGGGUGCCAUCAUGCCACCACCACUAUAGUGGGAACCCAUUGGCGUUAUCUCCCUUCUUUAGAAACUAUACAUGUAUUCUUCAAGGCUACUGAUUAAUCCCAGAGUUCAAUUUCUUCUUAAUUAUUCUAGUGUUUUUUGUUAUCUACAUUCUUUAAUUUCCUUCUUAGUUUUGAUAACAAGGUUUUGGAACAUGUGUUGUCUUGGCCUCUAAGAACUUAUAGUAAUUAACAUUCCUUAUUCUAAUUCAUGUAAGCUCUCUUUCUGUCCCUCUCAAUCCCACACACACACACAUUUAGAUCAGCACAUUCAUCUUCAGAUAUUGCUUGCUAUUAUAUACAUGCAAGUGGUCUUCUUGUCUCUUUCUAGUUUUUUCACACUAUUAUUUUCCAUGUCACAUAACCCUGAUUGCAAGAAAAGUCAAUGUAUGAAAAGCAGCUGGUUUGGAAUCAAGGAAGAAAUCUCAUUUGCUAGCAAUCAAACUCUUCCCCUUUGUGCUUUGAUGUUUUCACUAAUGUGGUGCACUUGGAAGGAGGGGGAGAGUUUGGCUUACUUUUCCACUGUGGUGCCACCCCAUGUGCGUUAAAAUUCAGCUAUUAGCAGGAGCAUAAUUUAUGCUGUCAUCUUCAUUUUGGCCUCCUACCUAGACAACAAAAUCUUCAUUUUUAAAGCAUGUUUUUCCAAUAGCAUGAGGUAGGUCGCACACUUGUUUCAUACACUUCAACCAUAACAUCCUUUCUUCUAAUCUUCUUCUUUGGUUCUUUUUAUUAUUAUUAUUAUUUUUCCAUCUAUUGGGUUUCAAAUGAACGUCUUAUUGAUUAAUCAAACACUAAAAGCCUUAUUACUUUGCCAAACUAAUAUUCAUUUGUUAAUUAGUGGGAUUUCCAAUUGGACCCAACAAGUCCCAAAACUCCACGGGUCAAGCUCAAACUAAACCUUUAGGCUCAGACAAAUGGGUCAAGCUAAGUUUGGGCUUGUAGGGUGGAUGCAAUGCAAGGUCCAAAUAAUAACGUAAUUAUUGUUGGCAAUAAUAUUUUUGCGUUUGGCUCCAAAUAUAAUUUGGUUGGUUCAAAUUAGAGAAGACCGAUUCUCCACUAGCUAGCUAGCUAGUAGUAGUGCCGAGCAGGUGGAAAUGGAACAGAUCCAUGUAUAAGCUGCCGGCUUCAAUGCAUUGACCUCAAUGAUAUAAUAUAAUAAUUAUUUGAGGAUCAAAGGAAAUUAUGUUUCACGAAAGAUAUUCAGAGACAAAGCAACCUCCCCCACUCCAGCAAUAAAACGGAGAAUAACAUGUCAAUUACAUCUUCUUUUCUCUUUUGCUUUCUUCAAAAAAGCAACACUGAAUCUGAUGGCUCACUCCCCCACUUUGGCUGGUUUUUUUAUUUAUUUCUUCCAUCCCCAUUUCUUGACUUUGCAUCUUGCUAAUCUAUACCAUAUAUUUUAUGUGUCCCCUUGCUUAUUUAGUUUAACAAACAUAAUCAUGUAUAGUAUGUAAUUGUAUAUAAGUUGGAAGAACAUAACUUAGUGGGUAGUUCUACGACACUUUUUAAUCAUUUCGUACAUAUAUUAUAUAUAUAAUUAAUUUAGUGUAUUUUUUAAAUAUAGAAAUUGUAUGGUUCUUUUAAUGCUAAUUGACUUGUGUAUAACUUAGUUGAUACAAUUUAUACA